UCCCAUUGAUUCUGAGUUGCCUUACAGUCUUCAUUGAAUUCCUGUUUUGAUUAAGUUAGCCAGGGUUGGUUCCUAUUGUUUGCAACCCCAGCACCCUGACAGUUACUGCCUUGGUCAAUGGGAAAAUGCUGCAGAGUCUGUGAGUUUGGGAGUGAAAUAGAAGCCAUUGUCAACGUUACAGGAUUCUAUCUGUGAGAUCAUCGCUGUCAUCAGGGUUAGCAGCCCCUUCUGCAUUGGUUUCUCUGAAGAGUGUUUUUCUUGCUGGUUCUGAUCUUGCUCUGCUCACGCCAAGAGCCCUAGAGUCUCUCUGGGCCCCAUCCACUCUAAUGUGCUACCAGAAGGUUCACCACUGUGCUGUCCGCAUCUGCCAACCGGGAGGUGUUUAUUGACUCAGUUGCAUCCCUCCUGAAGACACAUGACUUCGGUGGCCUGGACCUCUUCUUCUUGUACCCUGGACUAAGAGGCAGCCCCAUGUAUGACCGGUGGACUUUUCUCUUCUUAAUUGAAGUCUGGCCCAGCCUCCCAGCCUAAAGUGAUGCCUUCGCUGUUCAGCUUCCUGGACUCCCUCAGGCGGGCAGUAUGAAUUCUGUGCUCCCCAGCCUGCCUGCCGCUGGUCUACUGAAUAACUUGCCACACUGGCUCACAUUUGCCUUUCUCAUGAGCCUGUGAGCCGGGCCCGUGUCUGACUCACUUUUAUGUCCCCAGAACCUGG
rnacentral:lncRNA from 1 species